UCCAGUCUCUUGGUCUGAAAGUGAUCAGCUUAAUUUUAGUAAACCUUGUUGUGAUUAUGUGAUAGAACAUUAGUGUUUUAUUUUUGUAAAAAUUUAUGUAUUGUUGUAGUUGCAAUGACAACUGUAUCUACCACCAAAACAAAUCAACCUUCGAGUCCGAGAGAGUUUUUUAAGAAACUCUAUGGAGAUUUAGAGAAAAAUGACUUGGAAAAGUCUUCAGAAAAGUCUGAAAAAAGUAUAGACGAAAAAAAUGACCUGGGAUGUCCAGGGAAUCACGGGAAUGGUUCUAAAAGUACUAGGGAAGAGUUGGUGGUUCCUGUACCGAUUCUGGCAACUUCUUUCCCGUUUUUGUUGCCUCCUGAGUCGCAUCUAGCAGCUGCGGCGGCGGGACUUUCAGCUUUCUUAGCCAGACGUCGUAGGAAAGAAGGUAGACCCAGACGUCAAAGAACAACUUUCAGUUCAGAACAAACCUUGAGACUGGAGAUCGAAUAUCAGAGAUCAGAAUACAUCAGUAGGGGUAGAAGAUGUGAGCUCGCUGACGAGUUACGUCUCUCCGAGACUCAGAUCAAAAUUUGGUUCCAAAACAGACGAGCCAAAGACAAACGUAUAGAAAAAGCUCAUAUGGAUCACCAUUACAGGGGUUUCCACAUGGAUAUACAGUAUUUCUGAGAACCUGCUUAAGAAAUUAUAGAAUUAAAUAUGUGAUCCUUUUUUCUCAAUGAAGAAUCUCAUCAAGUCGAAGCAAGAACGAGUCAAAAGCAUUGUGUAAUGGAUAGAAAUUUGCCAUCAUUAUGAUUAAAGAGAUAUCUAUGUGAGUGAUAUCUCUAUGAUCUUUCUACUGGCCAGCAUUAAAUCCUUUGUAAAAUGGGUUAAAUAUUAACUCCAGAUGAUGGCCUGAUAUACAGAGAAUUGAAGCUCUUUUUAUGUAUGUAACCCAGAGACAUGUAGAACAAUCAAGAUAACAAUGUAGAAGAAUCAACUGGUGAAGGGAUAUUGAAAUGGGGGGAUUUCUACAUGGAUAUACAGUAUUUAUGAGAGCCUGCCUAACAAAUUACAGAAUUAAAUAUGCAGUCCUUUCUUCUCAAUGAAGAAUCUCUUCAUGUACAAGCAUGAACAAGUCAAAAGCAUUGUGGAAUAGACAGAAAUUUGCCAUUGUCAUGAUUAAAGUGAUAUCUAUGUGAGUGAUGGGAACAGUUUGAAGGCCCUUUGAAUACCUAUUAGCUCGUAGUAUACGAAAAAACAGUAAAUCUUAAAGUCAAGCAAGAGAGCACACAGUUUCACUGCAGCAAUCUCACAGUGUCCAGGACUUGAUGAAAUAGGAAGAAAAUAUGAUUUUACCAAGAUUCAGACAUAUAUAUGAGUCCAGUAAAUCCAGCAUACAUGUUGAAGUCUCCAUCCACAUCUCCAUGAUCCAGGUCCACUACGUGCAACUUUUAUUAAACCUUUUGUAUAUUGUAUUU
rnacentral:misc_RNA from 1 species